GGUCAGCUCAGUCGGCAGAGCAUGAGGCUUUUAAUCUCAGCGUCGUGGGUUUGAGCCCCAUGUUGGCCA